rnacentral:rRNA from 1 species
GACGAACGCUGGCGGCGUGCUUAACACAUGCAAGUCGAACGGAAAGGCCCUGCUUUUGUUGGUUGCUCGAGUGGCGAACGGGUGAGUAACACGUGAGUAACCUGCCCUUGACUUUGGGAUAACUUCUGGAAACUGGGGCUAAUACCGGAUAGGAGCUCCUGCUGCAUGGUGGGGGUUGGAAAGUUUCGGCGGUUGGGGCUGGACGCGCGGCUUAUCAGCUUGUUGGUGGGGUUGUGGCUUACCAAGCCUUUGACGGGUAGCCGGCCUUAGAGGGUGGCCGGCCACAUGGGGACUGAGAUACGGCCCAGACUCCUACGGGAGGCAGCAGUGGGGAAUAUUGCACAGUGGGCGGAAGCCUGAUGCAGCAACGCCGCGUGCGGGAUAACGGCCUUCGGGUUGUAAACCGCUUUCGCCUGUGACGAGGCGUGAGUGACGGUAAUGGGUAAAGAAGCACCGGCUAACUACGUG